UGUAUAUUAGAUAUCUACAAAUAUGUAGCGUGUAUAUAUACACGUAGGUAUGGAGUCAAAUGUAUAUGUGUAUACGCACUGUAGAAAACGUCUUGGCGAGGGAUUUCGCAGAGGGUUGGCUGUUUGCGCCUCUCGACAAAUAAGGGGAAGUCGUUAUCCCGUGGAUGGGAGGAGUAAUUAACUGCUUCUACGUCCUUUCUGCCCGCUCCACCUCCCUUCCUCAGCAUCCUCUCUUUCCGGCUUCGGCUUCUACUCGAAGGAACAGACUUAAGGAGGCCCGCUUAGGCUUUCACGGGGUCGUGUCUUCAUUAUUCACGCUAAUCUGCUUUCGCCCGGUGCUGCUGCCACCGCGAACCCUCCUUGGUGCUUCCUCUCUACAUCUCUCUCUUUCUUUCUCUAUGAUAUACUUUGCGGAAAUUAUAUUAUAUUAUUAUCAUGCGCGACGCACACAACUAUGAAGCAAACGUCACGUACUUUGCGACGAUAUAUGUUUAAUAUAAUCGGGUGGAAUAUUUCUUAAUUAAUGUGUUAUGUGUGAAAUUUUGAUUAAAGAUAUCAGAUUUCUUUUUCUCCAUAAUUUUAACUCAAACGCAAAUUUAAAUUAUAUAUUCUCUUACAAUCGAUCAAUAACAUUAGUAAAAAGUAUCUCUUCUCAAAAAAGGGAUUGGAAAAUAUUGAGAAUACAAGAUGCUUUAAAAAAUGAAUUGGCUCGCCAAUUAGUCGCUCUCGUAGGUAGGUAGAUAGGCAUGCAAUAAAUCUGUCGGGGUAUUAAUACCGGUAACCGAAACACAUUGCCGACAGAGGCGAGAUAUAAGCACCCCAACCGAGAUAAUCUUCCACCAAUUUCGACUUCCUGAUUGAUCAUGGCGUUCAUUCGAACGGAUCGUCCGGAACAAACGAACGCAUCAUCUUCCCGUCCGAAGAUUUUCGUUAUAAAUUUAAAAAGCAUAUGUUGACAUUUUUUCAGUUUGCAACUAAAAAGUUAAAUUCGCAUUUUUUAAAUUCCGUCUCAGAUACAGAUCAAAUGAAAGAUUACUCACAUGUUCCGUAUUCUAAAAAAGAAACUAAUGUUUAAAUGAGUAACAGAUACUUUGUUACAUACACAAGAACGAUCUGUACGAUUGGGAUAAGUUUACAUUACAUCUUGACACAUGUGAGUGUUAUGUAUUUCUACUUCUUGGUUCAUUAAAUUAAUCUGGGCGAGAAAUAAUCUUAUAAGACAUUUUUUUUAUAUAUAAUAAAGGCAUUUUUGUAUUGUUCGCGUUGCAUUGUAUAUUAUAUGUGCUAUUAUUAACUGUAGAAAUAAAUGUGUAAAAGAAAA